ACCUCCAGGAUUUCUCCAUAUGCGGGGGAGUGGUGGGUGGAAUAUAGAAACAGGAAACGUGCAACCAAGGAAGCGUCAGAGACUCCUUUCAUUGCAGUGCUUAAAAAAGCUUUGCCUCAUGUACCCAGAAAGUUGAAGGAGUCCAAGCUUCCUUUUUCAGAAGCCUGCUAUGUGAUGAAUGGAGCAUUUACUCUCAAAUGCUUAUAUCCUGGACAUUUUAUUUCUCUCUAAAGUGAUACUAAUUUAGCUGAUCUAUCACCAACAUCUCUGCUUAUGCCUGUUAUGGGACUCAGUAAUCUUACAAAAGAAUUCUGCAUCUGGUUUAUCUAAUUCCUUUUUCUGCAUUUUUGGAUAGAGGGCACGACGAUGGCAAAGCAAUGUAACAGAAGGAAGCUUCAGCUUUGCAAUACUUGAGAUUUGAAAUUAGAGUAUAUAACCACUCUUAACAGCCAUAUAUAGGACCGCUAUAAACCGCAACCGGAAGUGCUGUACGAAAACGAUUGAGACUGUCCCCGGUACAGCAUGUCUCUGAGCGCUGACUCUAAGCCCAGCUGGCGGAAUUAUCGCGAUAUAUGAGGGAAAGUAGCGCUGAAAAUGGUCAAAAGGUGACCGUCCGAAAGAGGGAUUAUAGGAAGGUGCCAGCAAACCACGUGACUGAUAGAACACGCGUCGAAGGGUUCUGGAACGUGCUGGGAGGAAAGGAAAAAUGUUCCGCUUUUGGCUAUCCGAUAUCUUUUCUUUUUGGACUGCCUCUCCCCCUAUGCACUACCACAACUCUUCAUGGAUCAGGGCCAGGUCUUCUACCGGGUGCCAACCUGCAAAGCGUUUUCCUGCCAUUCACCGUCCUAACCAAACCAUUUUGGGAAGCAGAACUGCAUAGCACCGCCACAGAUGCAUUACUGGCAGGUCCCACCCAUGGUAGGUGGCCCUCAGGAUGACUCUGCCAUCUGGGUGAAUAUUGAAUGGGAGUUCCGGAACUAUAAAAUAUUGUCUCUGUUUUUCUCAGACCUCAAUUGUGUUUAAAGCAUAUGUAUUAUUUAUGCAGGGCCUGUUAUGUUAAGUUUCUCAUAUUCAUUCUUCCAAUGAAUGCUUUCCAAUUAGUUAUGUGUUCAGGUAAAUUAUGUUGGUUUCAUUGGGUUUUACAUACAAUACAGCAUUGCUUGGAGGUAAACAAUUUCCCAAUGUAAUCUGGAAUAAAGGAAGCUCAGUUGUCCUUCAUCCCUAGCUUGGUGUAUGUGUGGAUUUGAAUCUGACAUUUUUACCCACAUUUUUGCCCACCAAAUUUUUUUCAAAUAUAUUUUGCAACUUUCUCCCUUUGUUUUAAUGGGAAUUGUUUAAAAUAUGCAUAGAAACUUUAGGAAGGAGGUUAAUUUUUAUUGUCGUUAUUUUAUAUAUUCAUGAAAUACUUCAUUUACUCCUUAAGAUAUUUGUUUUUUAUCAGAUCCAUCAGUUUCAUGUCCUUUUGUCAUGAUGUUAACUUUUAAGUACUUCCUAUGGCACUGUGCCAGAGAUGCAGGGUGAAGUCCCACAGCAUGUAGGAUUUACCUAAUGUGAUCUAGAGGCCUGUUUGGUUUCUAUGUGUUACUUAACGAUGGCUUUGUAAUAUUUUCCAUCUGUAAUUAAACAAGUUUUAAUUCAUUUUCUUACCCUUUAUAUAAAUAAAUUGGACUAGCUCAUCCAAUUAUA